GAGAUCUUGGCCUUGGCGUAAUCCGGAGUGUAAGACGAGGCUCUGCCUAAAGCGGUGCCGCUGGUGACGAUGGCUGAGAUCACCCUGAAACAAACGGUGAUGUACUGUGAUCUCUCUUCCAGUAUCCUCCGAACCUGAAGGACGCGGCAUUGGUCAAGAAGACCACGCACUGCGCGAAGCCAUAACAACCGCCGUAGACGUUCGCCUUCUUCAGGGCCGCUUGAUGCGGCGCGGUCAGUGAGCAUCUUGGCCUGGAAGCCUCCGGAGAGCGCGAUGAAGGGCAGGAAGCAGAGGAUGAGCAUCGUGAGCUUCCAGCUGAAGUAGAAGGACAUGAUGACGGCCACGCCGAUGUUGGUCAGGGAGUUGACGAUCAUGCCGAUCUGGGAGCCUGUGGCCUGUAGAGGAACCCAGAAAGAUCCCGUCGGCAUGGUGACAAAAUCAGCCGCGGACGUCUGAGGAUGACACCCAAACUCCGAGUUGGAUUAAUUCACAGAUGCAAGCAAGAGAUGUGGGAUCUUCUUCAUGGCAUAGUUUUAUUUAAACGUCUUCACAAAAAGGUAAAGUUAUUCUAUACAGUGUACGUUAUACUCAACAGUGUAGCAGCAAAAAACACAUGUACUAAAUUUUUAAUAAACAUGCUUGUUUUGUAAUAGAGUGAUCAGAAACUGCAGUCAUUCCACUCAAUUUUGAUGGAAGACAUUAUAUUACGGUCAUUAACUUAUUUUAAAAACAGUGAAAUGAUCAGAUCUACAAGCAAAAUAUACAUGAACUCAAAUUAACAAGUGACACAAUGUACUUACAUCCUUCAGAACUUAGUCGAUUAGCACAUUAGCUUCACUAACUGUGCUUGCAGUCAGUGGCGCAAAAGGUGGCUAUGCAGUGUAUGCAAUGCAUAGGGGCGCU